rnacentral:rRNA from 1 species
UCGUCACACUAUCAUUAACUGAAUCCAUAGGUUAAUGAGGCGAACCGGGGGAACUGAAACAUCUAAGUACCCCGAGGAAAAGAAAUCAACCGAGAUUCCCCCAGUAGCGGCGAGCGAACGGGGAGGAGCCCAGAGCCUGAAUCAGCAUGUGUGUUAGUGGAAGCGUCUGGAAAGGCGCGCGAUACAGGGUGACAGCCCCGUACACAAAAGCGCAUGUGCUGUGAGCUCGAUGAGUAGGGCGGGACACGUGGUAUCCUGUCUGAAUAUGGGGGGACCAUCCUCCAAGGCUAAAUACUCCUGACUGACCGAUAGUGAACCAGUACCGUGAGGGAAAGGCGAAAAGAACCCCGGCGAGGGGAGUGAAAAAGAACCUGAAACCGUGUACGUACAAGCAGUGGGAGCACCCUUCGGGGUGUGACUGCGUACCUUUUGUAUAAUGGGUCAGCGACUUAUAUUCUGUAGCAAGGUUAACCGAAUAGGGGAGCCGGAGGGAAACCGAGUCUUAACCGGGCGUUAAGUUGCAGGGUAUAGACCCGAAACCCGGUGAUCUAGCCAUGGGCAGGUUGAAGGUUGGGUAACACUAACUGGAGGACCGAACCGACUAAUGUUGAAAAAUUAGCGGAUGACCUGUGGCUGGGGGUGAAAGGCCAAUCAAACCGGGAGAUAGCUGGUUCUCCCCGAAAGCUAUUUAGGUAGCGCCUCGUGAAUUCAUCUCCGGGGGUAGAGCACUGUUUCGGCUAGGGGGCCAUCCCGGCUUACCAACCCGAUGCAAACUGCGAAUACCGGAGAAUGUUAUCACGGGAGACACACGGCGGGUGCUAACGUCCGUCGUGAAGAGGGAAACAACCCAGACCGCCAGCUAAGGUCCCAAAGUCAUGGUUAAGUGGGAAACGAUGUGGGAAGGCCCAGACAGCCAGGAUGUUGGCUUAGAAGCAGCCAUCAUUUAAAGAAAGCGUAAUAGCUCACUGGUCGAGUCGGCCUGCGCGGAAGAUGUAACGGGGCUAAACCAUGCACCGAAGCUGCGGCAGCGACACUGUGUGUUGUUGGGUAGGGGAGCGUUCUGUAAGCCUGUGAAGGUGUGUCGUGAGGCAUGCUGGAGGUAUCAGAAGUGCGAAUGCU